AAAAAGUGCAGUUACCUGCAGAAAUGCCAAAGUGAAGUUAUCUUGUUUUCAUAAUAAUAAGAGUGGAAGAAAUUUCCUGGGGUAUUUAGUCCAGUGCUCUGCUGAUUUACUUGCCCUGUUAGCCACUUUCAGGUUCCUUUAGGCGGCUAUAUCAUACUUUAUAGUAACACCUUCUCAACAGUUAACUCUCAAUUUAGAUGUCUGUAUUUCAUAUCCCAUGGUCAGGGUCCAUUGCUCACUUUUUUCCCCUCUCCCCAUCUGUUCCCAGCAAGUUAAGUCAUCACACUGCAGUGCAGUCCCUGUCACGUUAAAGAAGAAGGUUUGGGAGACUGCAAGUAAUAUGUUCACUUCAGUAUAGCUAUCAUGCAAUUUUAUUAUCAUCUUUUGUGAGAGAGGUUUAUCCCAGCUCAUGUCAUGAGUCCCAUUACUAAUUCACACCGCCACUAGCAGCUGGGGCCCUGAUUCCUUAUAACAGGCCAGCCAAUCUACAGCAUCCUCAAGAAAUUAAUCAGCACUCUCUGCAAACAGAUUAGCUCUAUGGUGGUCGGGUAAACAUUUGGAUUACCGUGGUAGAAUAUGAGAGACUGGGCCUAGACCAAAACUGGAAAAAAAACCUUCCUUACCAAUGGGACCUUGUUGUUGUUAUUACAUUUAUUAUUUACGUUUGUAAACAAUUGGCUGUUGUUAUUAUUUACAUUUCUAUUAUUUACUUUUUUGCAUUGUUGGAAUGGUUUGUAUAGAUUUUAUACAAUUUGCUCUAUAUCUAUACUUGAUUCCCAGGUUUCAGAGAAGUUUAUUUUUACUGUGGCUAUCUUGGUGAUAUUCUUUCAUGAUAAUGUACAGGUGAUGCACAUAUAGGUGAUUCACACAGUUUCAAAACUACUUCAGUUUACAAUCACCUCUUUGUUCAGCACCUUGUGCUGUCAGACCAAGCAGUCAUGUCCUUGUAUCCUAAUGGAUAGAGACCAAGAGACUUACAGAAGACUCACUUUUGAGAUGCAGAUUGUUGCAGGUGAGAAUUCACUCUCUGCUUUCUGCUUUGGACUCCUUACUGAUUGACUUAAAACUUUAGUGAAUUUUUAAGUAAAAUAAAUCAAGUUUAUUUUAAUAAAAUGCA
rnacentral:lncRNA from 1 species